GGGCCAGUGGCACAAUGGGUAAUGCAUCUGACUACCCAUCAGAAGAUUCCAAGUUCAACUCCUGGCUGGCUCA
rnacentral:tRNA from 1 species